rnacentral:rRNA from 1 species
AUACGUAAGGGGCGAGCGUUGUCCGGAUUCACUGGGCGUAAAGGGCGCGUAGGCGGCGAUACAAGUCAGAGGUGAAAGCUGUGGGCUCAACCCAUAAACGGCCUUUGAAACUGUAUUGCUUGAGUAUCGCAGAGGAAAGUGGAAUUCAUGGUGUAGCGGUGAAAUGCGUAGAUAUCAUGGAGAACACCUAUGGCGAAGGCAGCUUUCUGGGCAAAUACUGACGCUGAGGCGCGAAAGCUAGGGUAGCGAACAGGAUUAGAAACCCCUGUAGUCC